UACGUAGGGACCAAGCGUUGUUCGGAUUUACUGGGCGUAAAGGGCGCGUAGGCGGCGCGGUAAGUCACUUGUGAAAUCUCUGAGCUUAACUCAGAACGGCCAAGUGAUACUGCAGUGCUAGAGUGUGGAAGGGGCAAUCGGAAUUCUUGGUGUAGCGGUGAAAUGCGUAGAUAUCAAGAGGAACACCUGAGGUGAAGACGGGUUGCUGGGCCAACACGUGACGCUGAUGACGCGAAAGCCAGGGGAGCAAACGGG
rnacentral:rRNA from 1 species